rnacentral:rRNA from 1 species
UGAGGAAUAUUGGUCAAUGGACGGAAGUCUGAACCAGCCAAGUAGCGUGCAGGAUGACGGCCCUAUGGGUUGUAAACUGCUUUUGUAUGGGGAUAAAGUUAGGGACGUGUCCCUAUUUGCAAGUACCAUACGAAUAAGGACUGGCUAAUUCCGUGCCAGCAGCCGCGGUAAUACGGAAGGUCCAGGCGUUAUCCGGAUUUAUUGGGUUUAAAGGGAGCGUAGGCUGGAGAUUAAGUGUGUUGUGAAAUGUAGACGCUCAACGUCUGAAUUGCAGCGCAUACUGGUUUCCUUGAGUACGCACAACGUUGGCGGAAUUCGUCGUGUAGCGGUGAAAUGCUUAGAUAUGACGAAGAACUCCGAUUGCGAAGGCAGCUGACGGGAGCGCAACUGACGCUUAAGCUCGAAGGUGCGGGUAUCAAACAGG